rnacentral:rRNA from 1 species
UACGGAGGGGGCUAGCGUUGUUCGGAAUUACUGGGCGUAAAGCGCGCGUAGGCGGCUUUGUAAGUUAGAGGUGAAAGCCCGGGGCUCAACUCCGGAAUUGCCUUUAAGACUGCAUCGCUAGAAUCGUGGAGAGGUAAGUGGAAUUCCGAGUGUAGAGGUGAAAUUCGUAGAUAUUCGGAAGAACACCAGUGGCGAAGGCGACUUACUGGACACGUAUUGACGCUAAGGCGCGAAAGCGUGGGGAGCGAACAGG